GACUGCAUAGCUCAGUUGGCAGAGCAUUGUGCUAGUAUUCCAAAGGUAGUAGGUUCGACUCCCACUGUGGUCA